rnacentral:rRNA from 1 species
UAAUACGUAGGCAGCAAGCGUUGUUCGGAAUUACUGGGCGUAAAGAGUGUGUAGGCGGUGCCGCAAGUUUGGUGUGAAAUCUCCCGGCUUAACUGGGAGGGUGCGCCGAAAACUGCGGUGCUUGAGUGUGGGAGAGGGAAGCGGAAUUCCUGGUGUAGCGGUGAAAUGCGUAGAUAUCAGGAGGAACACCUGCGGUGUAGACGGCUUCCUGGACCACCACUGACGCUGAGACACGAAAGCGUGGGUAGCAAACAGGAUUAGAUACCCUGGUAGUCCACGCCCUAAACGAUGCAUACUUGGUGUGGGCCAUUCAGUUGGUCCGUGCCGGAGCUAACGCGUUAAGUAUGCCGCCUGGGGAGUACGGUCGCAAGGCUG